CGAACGUCCUCCGUAUAAAAGGGUUAUGCCUGAGGAUCGGCGGUACGGAGUCGUAGUGAGCUAGUGAGCAACGAGGAGAAUCCCAGUUGCUGCGAGUUUACUUGCGGAGGAGACCCCGAACGUCCUCCGUAUAAAAGGGUCAUGCCUGAGGAUCGGCGGUACGGAGUCGUAGUGAGCUAGUGAGCAACGAGGAGAAUCCCAGUUGCUGCGAGUUUACUUGCGGAGGAGACCCCGAACGUCCUCCGUAUAAAAGGGUCAUGCCUGAGGAUCGGCGGUACGGGGUCGUAGGCCUCAAUCACUGUCAGCCCUUAUUAAUGGAUGCAACCCAACGCUCUCGGAGAAUCGGAUAUGCUAAAAGUCUUUCGAGGCCUUAAUCACUGUCAGCCUCAUGGAUUCUGCGGAUUGCAGCUCGGAAUCAGAUCUAAGUUCGUGGUCAAACUCUUCUGUUGGCGAUGGGCCAACUGCCAGUAGCUGCACACUGCAAGCCUGCCCCUCGAAUGGGUGUA